AUAUGGGCUUCGCUGCAAAUAGAGUCGUCAGAUAAAAUUGUGUCAGAUAUAUUUCCGGAUAAAUCAAGUUCUAUUUACUACUACAGUAAAUUGUUUUAUAUGUUUAUGUCUGCGUUUUUAAUGUUGGUCUGUGGUGUUCUUAUCUUGGGUGUGGUGAUGUCAAAAUCUCAUAUAAUUAAUGUAUUCGUGUGGUACGCAUUUAUAUUUAAUUGUACUACGAUUGGUUUGAAUAUCGCGGGAUUUAUUUUGAAAAUGGUGAAAUUAGAAAAAAAGUUAAUGAAACACACGAUAAAAUUCAUGAUAUCGCUUUCUUGGAACUUCUGUAAGUACCCAUACAUAACAUACAUAUAUAACUAUUAUCAAAGAACAUAAUAUUAAAAAAAAAGGUUUUAA
rnacentral:misc_RNA from 1 species